rnacentral:rRNA from 1 species
AGCGAACGCUGGCGGCAGGCUUAACACAUGCAAGUCGAGCGGGCAUCUUCGGAUGUCAGCGGCAGACGGGUGAGUAACACGUGGGAACGUACCCUUCGGUUCGGAACAACUCUGGGAAACUGGAGCUAAUACCGGAUACGCCCUUAUGGGGAAAGGUUUACUGCCGAAGGAUCGGCCCGCGUCUGAUUAGCUAGUUGGUGGGGUAACGGCCUACCAAGGCGACGACCAGUAGCUGGUCUGAGAGGAUGAUCAGCCACACUGGGACUGAGACACGGCCCAGACUCCUACGGGAGGCAGCAGUGGGGAAUAUUGGACAAUGGGCGCAAGCCUGAUCCAGCCAUGCCGCGUGAGUGAUGAAGGCCUUAGGGUUGUAAAGCUCUUUUGUCCGGGACGAUAAUGACGGUACCGGAAGAAUAAGCCCCGGCUAACUUCGUG